rnacentral:rRNA from 1 species
UACGGGGGGGGCGAGCGUUGUUCGGAAUUACUGGGCGUAAAGAGCGUGUAGGCGGCCAAGCAGGUCCGUUGUGAAAACUGGAGGCUUAACCUCCAGACGUCGACGGAAACCGCGUGGCUAGAGUCCGGAAGAGGAGAGUGGAAUUCCUGGUGUAGCGGUGAAAUGCGCAGAUAUCAGGAAGAACACCAAUGGCGAAGGCAGCUCUCUGGGACGGUACUGACGCUGAGACGCGAAAGCGUGGGGAGCGAACAGG